AGCUUCCGUUAGAGAGGCGUUUGCUUCCGGUGUGCUCGCGGCGCUAUGUGUCAUGGACAUGGAGCGGAUUUAUCACACAAACUGAGAUAAACACUCAAUAAUCUGCUUUUUAUCUGAUUUCCUCUCUGGUUAAAUAUUAGCGAGGAUCUGAUUUACUCUGGUCAGAGCCGACAGGGAGAGUGUGGAGAGAAAGUCCUUCACCAAAUGGUUAUAAAGAUGGUAUUGUCAGGGUUACGGUUGUCACGGCAGCAGUUGAAGCGGUUGGAGGAUCACCGGUACAGCAGUGAGGGGAAGUCUGUCCUGGAGUCGCUCAUGCAGCCGUUCUGGUGCUGGCUGGUGGAGAAAAUUCCCCUUUGGGUCGCCCCCAACCUCAUCACCACCAUCGGCCUUACCCUCAACGUCACCACCACCCUCAUCCUUGCCUACUACUGUCCUACUGCUACUGAGCAGGCUCCGACAUGGGCGUACCUGUCUUGUGCCGUAGGGCUGUUUAUGUACCAGUCACUGGAUGCCAUCGAUGGUAAACAGGCGAGACGGACCAAUAGCAGCACUCCACUCGGAGAACUGUUCGACCACGGCUGUGACUCUCUCUCCACUGUGUUUGUGAUUCUGGGUACAUGUAUAGCGGUUCAGAUGGGGACGAAUCCUGACUGGAUGUUCUUCUGCUGUUUUGUGGGCAUGUUCAUGUUCUACUGUGCUCACUGGCAGACCUACGUCUCAGGAACACUGCGCUUUGGCAUCAUCGAUGUGACUGAAGUGCAGAUCUUCUUUGUAAUGGUUUACCUGCUGUCUGCGCUCGGAGGAACUGCUUUUUGGCAAUCUACGAUCCUGGGGCUGAAUAUCCAGAUGAAAAUGAUUCCCGCUUUCCUGACCUUCCUGGGAGCAAUAUUUUCCUGCACAAACUACUUCCGGGUCAUCUUCACAGGCGGGAUGGGCAAAAACGGCUCCACCAUCGCGGGGACGAGUGUGCUCUCUCCAGCAUUCCAUAUCACAGUGAUGUUGCUUUUGGCUGUGUUGGUGUAUAAGAUGUCAUCGGAGCAGCUUUUUGAGAAAAACCCCUGUCUCUUCGUUUUAGCAUUCGGCUUCGGCUCAGCUAAAAUCACCAACCACCUGGUGUUUUUGGGGUGUGUGUGUGUGUGUGUGUGUGUGUGUGUGUGUAUCAGGUAUCCCACAUGACGAAGAGUGAGAUGCAGCGCAGUGAUUCUGCAUUCGUUGCGCCGCUGCUGCUCUUUAUCAAUCAGUACUUUAACAGUUUCUUCAGUGAACACUUCCUCCUCUGGGGGGCGCUGGUGCUCUCUGCGUGUGAUCUACUGUGUUACUGUACGAGUGUGUGUAAGCAGAUCGCCUCUCACCUCAACAUCAGUGUGUUCAGCCUUCAGAAACCCAAAACCUGCCACAACAGCCACCACUAACACACACACACACACACACACACAAAAACUCCUCCGUCCUCCUGUUACACUCCUUCAGUCAGUCCAGUGAACUAAUGAAAAACAACACACACACACUCUGAAUAAUGACUUCUCCAGAACAGAGAACGUUACAUAGAUUUGGGAAUUAAUUAUAGAAUUAUUUUUGUAUUUCCGUUAAAUAUUAACAUUUAUUAUUUUUCUUGUGUAAGUUAACGUUUGUUACUGAAGCUAAAUAUUUCUGUUGUUUGUUUUUAAUAAUAAUUAUAAACAGGAAGUUGAUUCUCAGCUAAUCACACUCACAUUCAAUAGGGCGUGUCAGGGGCGUGUCAGGGGCGUGUCAGAGGUGGGUCGGGGCCAUAAUGUAGAUUUCCUCCACACACCUGCCUCUGAUGCUAAUAUAAGAUGCUAAUAAAAAGGCUUUUGAUUAGCAUGAACACACACAUGUGAAGGGUGUGUUAGGUUUGAUCAGGUGUGUUAGAGCAGAAGUGCGAGAGCCGAAGAACUGCAGGAGACUUGUCUAGAUCUCAUUAGAGGAUCCGUUUAAUGCUCACUGCUUCCUGCUUUAUGUUUCGGGGCAUUUGGGGUGUGGCCUCAGUCCAGCCAAGGUGUGGUCAGUGUUGUGUUUUAUAUAAUGUCUGUGUAUUUUUUUUUAUUAUUAUUAUUUGUCAGUUACGUUGCAGUCGUACACCGGGACACAAGUCUUCCACAAAUGUUUAAAGAAGAAACUUUUUGUGAUUUAAAAAAAUAAAUGAGCUGCUGGAGGAGCUGUGGAAACGUUGCCCUGUGCUCCAGUACUGUUCUCAUGCCCUUGUUGACUUCCCCAAAGUGUUUAAAGCGUAAUCUAGCUAACACACUAGCAUGCUAACUAGCUAUCAUGAAAACACAAAACAGCUUCAUGCACUAAAACCAUGCAGUGCAUUCUGGGUAAUUUCUGCUUAUGGAAUGAACUUCCUCCAAGCUGGUGAUGUAAUGUACCGUCCCUUAACAUGGCCACCGAGGGGAAGUGGACGAGGGAGAAACCGUAUUGGAGCCCUUUAGCGGAUGGUGAUGAGUUAAACUCCACCUCUGAACACUGUGUGUGAGAGUGCGGACUCGUUUAAUCAGUGUUUACACUCCUGAGUUAAUGUGACGACCUGAAGAUCUCGUGCCUUUCUCCUUUAUUUCUCGCUCGGUUAAACUAAACUCUAUGCACACGCCAUGUUUUAAACGCCAACCGUUUCACGUUUUUCCUCCUUCGUUUAGACACGAGUUUCUCACGUGUGAAGUUUAAAGGUGCAGUAAGAGUUUUUCUAAAUAAGAGUGAUAAUGUACAGAAAGUUACAGCGAGUUUAAAAAGGGCCAGUUUUAUUCUCAUAAAUUGUCGGGUAUUUUUAUUAUUUUGCUUUGAACUGCUGCACGGAUCACGUCUCUGAUUUUAUUAAAAACUGUGUUCUGUAUUCGCAUGCUGACUUCCUGCUUCUUCAUUUUAACACCUCGACUGUGUGCUUCAUAAUAUUUACAGUAACCCCUAACAUGUCGUCUAGGCUGUGUGGGCAGAGCUAGAAGCAGUGCUGGUCACUGAUUGGUCGAGCACAAUGGUGACUGUCAGAAACAUUCUAGUGGUGGUGAUGAUGAUGAUUAAUAAUAGCAAUAAUAAUAAUUGAUAGCACUGUAUAUAACUGACAGGACUAUAACAUUCUUAUUAACUUUAUGCUCACUACAUGGGGUGUAGCGGUUCUGUGUUCUCUACACAGUGUACUCCAUGCCCAAUAAAACACAAUUCAGCCACAGAAAAUGUGCGGACCAUUGUUGUUGUUUCACACCUUAAGCUUGUUUAAAGAUCAUCUGCUCUCGCUACACCUUCCCUUUUGGAACACAUUAAAGUGGCUGAAACCAUGGGGUUAAGCUCCAUUUCCUCAUUUCUAAAUAAAUGACUGUGUUAAAAUGCAGUGGGACAACAUCUUAAAUGUACCUUUAAACUUUGGAAGGCGUGGCUUAAGAGGCGUGUCCUGAUGGGGCAUGGCCCAAGGGAGCCUGUGCUUUGUAGACAUUUUCAAUAUUUUCUUUCUAAAGUGUUGGUAAUGUUAAAAAGAAUAAAAUGAUGCACGCUUAGAAUGCUUAUUGCACCUUUAAGGUCCACCUUGUGCAUAUGCAAAUUAGGUGGGAGGAGUCUGCAGUGUCUACACAGUGUUUUCUUUAACUCUCUACCUCAUUAACACUCCACUCGAUGUGUGUGCUGAUUCAUUUCCUCUCACAGUCCUUAAAUAAAUAUCUUGCACUGUGUAGUGAGCAGGAUGCGAUCUCUCUCUUCUCAAACACACCCAUUUUAUCCUCAAUACAGGUGCGGUACUGAGUGAAUCCAAAGCAGGUGUGUUAGAGAAGUGUGUGUCCAAAACGUCGCGCUCGCUACACAAUGUACUGUUAACCUUAUGAAGUGUUUUAUGAUUUUGUGUUAAUGAGCAAUCGCACAAUGUAUUGUAAUAGAUUAGGUGUUAAGAUAGCGAUAUGGAGUAGGGUUAAAACUGGGGGUUAAGGGGUAGAAAUUAGGGGUGGGGUUAAUGAUCAGUGUCCAGAUGUGGCCGUUAAAGACAGGUUCUUUGCUAAUUAGGGUGCGUUGGGGUUUUGGACACGUCCACAGUGGGUGAGACCAUAGUGUUGGUUCUGUUCCCUUCAUUCAACAAGGUUCUUCAAGGGUUCAUUGGAUAAUGAAGGAUUCUUAGCUUCUUCAAACAGGUUCUACUUGGAACUCUUUCUGAACGUGAAACACUGCACAUAGAACCUUUAAGGGUUCCUCAAAGGGACAACUGAAGAGUGUUUAUUCUCCAGUGUAGGGUGUGAUAUAAACACAGUGGGGAUUUUAAAGGUCAGGAAACGCUGAUCUCAAGGACCAGGAAAUGGAGAAUAGAGCACCUUCUUUGCUUUUUUUAUUUUUUCUUCUUACUAACGAGAGUUUAAAAGUUCUCCAUUCAUAAAUUAAGAUCAGACAGGGUAAACACCUGCUUGUUUUUUUAACAUCUGAUCACCAAGUGUUCUGUAUUUUAAUUUUACACUUGACUGUAAUAAAGUUCAUUUGUAAUGUCUCCGGUGUAAAAAUAAAGACUGUUAUAUUAACAUCAACACAAA